CUCAAUAAAAAGUGAGCACUGC
rnacentral:piRNA from 1 species